CCCUCGCUCAACAAAUCGCCAUUCGAAGCUAACGCACAGAGACACCCGGCUUCGGCCAGCGUCUCGUCAUUCUAUUGCUUUGGGAGAAAGUCCCCGGACGUCUCUCUUCGGGGAGCUUGCGGAAACGCGCCGCCAUAGAAGCACUGCGGCUGACCUUUGGCGCCUUGGCCUUCUUCGUGGACCAUUCGCCCUACCCGUCGCCACAUCCGCGUCUUGCGAGUCUUGCUUUGGAACCUAGUUGCAUCUCUCAGCCCCUUUGGAUGAAGAUAUGAGUCCGCGUUGGGAUGGUGUGGUUGGGACUUCCGGCGCUAGACGAGCAGGUUCGGAUGACGGGUAGCCGUGGGUGACAUGGAGUGUGGCAUCGGGUACUGAGGAUAUUUUGUCGAGGUUGAUAGGUAUGCGAUUGCUCGGUUUACCGGGUUACUCGACGGGGCUUAUUCUUGAGGCGAGG
rfam:Metarhizium majus ARSEF 297 Scaffold_20, whole genome shotgun sequence.